UACAGAGGGUGCAAGCGUUAAUCGGAUUUACUGGGCGUAAAGCGCGCGUAGGCGGCUAAUUAAGUCAAAUGUGAAAUCCCCGAGCUUAACUUGGGAAUUGCAUUCGAUACUGGUUAGCUAGAGUGUGGGAGAGGAUGGUAGAAUUCCAGGUGUAGCGGUGAAAUGCGUAGAGAUCUGGAGGAAUACCGAUGGGCGAAGGCAGCCAUCUGGCCUAACACUGACGCUGAGGUGCGAAAGCAUGGGGAGCAAACAGGG
rnacentral:rRNA from 1 species